rnacentral:lncRNA from 1 species
AACAAAUUACAAUGGUAAAUCAUGCUCUCAGUUUGCAAAAUUUGGUAUUACAGUGAAACCUCUCUAUGUUGGACACAUUUGGUUCCUUCAAAAUGCGUCCAACAUAGAGGGAUGUCCAACAUAGAGAGAUUCAUAUUACAGUAUUAAAUUUUUUUCUAAAUAUACUAACACUAAAUUUUCAUGGCAAUGCAAACCUUUAUUCAAAUCAAACUAAAAGCCUUUAUUAUUUUAAAUCAAACUUAAAAAUAUCAAGUACACACUGCAAUGUGUCAAUGCUUUCAGCAUAGGAACUAUUUAUUUGAAAAGAAGUCUGUAACUAGAGUUUGUCUUUUUUUAUUUAACUUAAAUUUCAUCCACACAUUUUCAAUUUUUUUUCUAACACCAAAUAGAGUUUCAACAAGCUUUGGUUCAUUAUUAGAAAAUGCAAAUCGUUCAAGUUCCUCUACAUAUUCCAAAGCUGUUUUAUGGGUAACUGGUUCUUAAACCUCUUUGAAAUAAAUCCUUUAAGUUUUGAAUAAACCAAACCAAAACUAACCAAAUUAUAGCCCAAAUUUAUUUUUGAUGAUACAGUACUGUAAAUAAAAUAUUCUAGCUAUAAUUUGGCUAGUUUUGAUUUUUUCAAGGUCCAAUGUUCAUAUUUACAGUAAUAAGCAAACUUCAGAUUUAUGAGUCAUCAGCAACCACCUGAUUGUCUCACUCAUCAAUGUUAUACAAUUCUCUUUCACAAUUCCUUUUGUUAAUCUCAUAAAUCUAAAUGAAAUUUAAAAUCAUAUUUCAACUAAUAAUCAAAAAGUGUCCAUCUUAUUAUAAACAGUUGUUCAAGAUACAAGAUAGAGAGGUGUCCAGGAUAUAGAGGUUUGGACAUACAGUAAAAUAUAGGCUUUUGUCUGGUUCCAUGAAAAGUC